CUAUUUUCGCACCGUCAUAGUUUCAUACACCACUUCGUGAUGUAUUGAAUGAAAAAGGGAAUCCGGUGAAAAUCCGGGACAAUACCCGUUGCUGUAUUUCCCCCUUUUAAAGGAAAAGUUUAUCGUACGUUUGCCACUGGUUAGAAUGCUGGGAAGGCACGAUAAAAGGGAUAAGUCAGAAGACCUGCUAUGAUGAGGGACAGAUU
rnacentral:ncRNA from 1 species